rnacentral:rRNA from 1 species
CCUACGGGUGGCAGCAGUGAGGAAUAUUGGUCAAUGGCCGUAAGGCUGAACCAGCCAAGUCGCGUGAAGGAAGAAGGAUCUAUGGUUUGUAAACUUCUUUUAUAGGGGAGUAAAGGUAUCCACGUGUGGAUAUUUGCAUGUACUCUAUGAAUAAGCCACGGCUAACUACGUGCCAGCAGCCGCGGUAAUACGUAGGGGGCAAGCGUUAUCCGGAUUUACUGGGUGUAAAGGUCGUGUAGGCGGGACUGCAAGUCAGCGGUAAAAUGUCGGGGCUCAACCCCGGCCGGCCGUUGAAACUGGUGUUCUAGAGUGGGAGAGAAGUAUGAGGAAUGCGUGGUGUAGCGGUGAAAUGCAUAGAUAUCACGAAGAACUCCGAUUGCGAAGGCAGCAUACCGGCUCCAUACUGACGCUGAGGCACGAAAGCGUGGGGAUCGAACAGGAUUAGAUACCCUGGUAGUC